CGUGGUCACCUGGUAAAGGCAGUAUGAUUUAUUUCAGCAUGAGAAAGAUUAAUUCAAUUGUAUAAGAAUGUGUUAGGUGUCAGAACAUGAAUUUCUCUUUUCGAGCUGUGACUCCAACCAGUGUGCCCCCCUGCCAGGUGUGAUAUUUUACACGCAAGUUUCCGGAAAGUCUGGCUUUAUAAGUUCCUGAUAGCAUACUUUUGAUAUAUUAUGUGUCCAUUAACGGUCAGGAAACAAAUCUCUGCCAUGGGGUCCAACCAAAAGAUAAUAAUCAUUGCAGAGGUGAAUUGUGCCUCCUGGGAUACAUAUCCAUAACGGUGACAGCAUACAC